AUGGGGGUCAUUGUUGCAGGGUCCUUUACUCUUGAGGCCCUGGUCUCAAGAAUUGAGUUAAAUAAAGUCAGUAGUUUCUAUGUGGGCAUUUUUAGCCGUAGGCCAGAACUAAUGAGUUGUAACAGAUUUUUAAAAAGAUGUAUAGAACAUUUCUGACUUUUGAUUGACUCUACAUUUAUUUUUUGCAUUUUGCUAUUUUGAAGACUAUGAAAGUGAUGACGACUCUUAUGAAGUGUUGGAUUUAACUGAGUAUGCAAGAAGACACCAGUGGUGGAAUCGAGUGUUUGGCCACAGUUCGGGACCUAUGGUAGAAAAAUACUCAGUAGCUACCCAGAUUGUAAUGGGUGGCGUUACUGGCUGGUGUGCAGGAUUUCUGUUCCAGAAAGUUGGAAAACUUGCAGCAACUGCAGUAGGUGGUGGCUUUCUUCUUCUUCAGAUUGCUAGUCAUAGUGGCUAUGUGCAGAUUGACUGGAAGAGAGUUGAAAAAGAUGUAAAUAAAGCAAAAAGACAGAUUAAGAAACGAGCGAACAAAGCAGCACCUGAAAUCAACAAUUUAAUUGAAGAAGCAACAGAAUUUAUCAAGCAGAACAUUGUGAUAUCCAGUGGAUUUGUGGGAGGCUUUUUGCUCGGACUUGCAUCUUAAGGACAUGAAUAUUCUCCCAUAACGGAUUCAACUAUGAGAAGAGAAGUGGCAGCAAUAAGGCAGUCUCUCAAAAGUCAUACUGCCAGAGUCUCUAGGGCAGGGAGAAACAACUAGCUGGACAAUACUCAAUUCAAAACUUAGCAUUUUGCCAUCUGAAGCUUGGCAAACUAGUAUCUGCUGUAAAACAACCUAUAUGGUAUGUGAACCAUAGUAUUCCUGAGCAAAACGUGGCUUUCAUCGCUUUGUAAAAAUUUGCAUCUGUUUAGAAACUAGCCUAUAAAAUAUCACCAUUGGAUGUAGAUAUGGAGAGAAAAGAAAUAUGUUGGGUUUAUUGCUUAGCGAAAUAUUCUCUUUUUAUUUAAAUAAAAUGUUCUUCAUUGUGUUUUAUGGUAUGUGUCCAUAAUUUAAAAUUCGUGCUACAGUUUC
rnacentral:sRNA from 1 species